GAAGCAACAAAGUCUCUACACGAACAGUAACGCAUCUAAAAAAAGAGCAAAGCAAAGAAAGCCUAACUGGAAGGUAAAACCUGCCCUUCUUCAGAGGGUUUCCUAGCGAGUGUGCUCGGCUGAGCGGCUCCCACCGCCCAGUACUUCUGCCUGCAGUAUUUAAAAGACUGCACCUUCGAAGCCAUAAGAGGUGUCUCAGCUGGACUUCAACAGCACCUGCAUGCAGGUGAGAACUGAGGAAAUUCUGGUUUAAAGGAUUCAAGCAAACAUCUGUGCAAAAAAAGCAAAGCCUGUCCUUGUCCACCUAAAAAUACUUACAAAUACAUAGUAGACAGACCGUUAGCAAUGGCUAUUUACCCCGGUUUUGUUUCCUUCCAGCCUUAGCUUCACAUGCUUGACAUGUGAAUUCAGCUAUGUGGGAAAUUUGGGGGUGAGCAGCCAGGUAUGUAGAAAGUUGCUUUUGUGCAAUAAGCAAUUUCUGUCACUGUCCUGCAAGAAGUUGUGGCCCUUAGCAACUGAGGCGAAGGCUGAACACUGGCAAGGAAAGGAUGCGCAAGGCAAAAAAUGUCUGUAGUGAUAAAGAAAACCAGCAAGACAUAAAAUCUCCCACAAGAGAUGCCUGGUAUUGCCUUUUCCCCCUUAGGAUGGGCUGACGGGGUGAGUUUCUGGUCUGUGGUCCUGCAUCGGAAGGGCGAGGGGACAGCAGCAGGGACCCUGCCGUGUGGCACAGCGCCGCAGCCAGCCCGCACAGCGCGGGACACGCGCCCCGCUGCGGGACACAAACCUGGGAAAGGGCCGUCCGAGAGCUGAUAAGAACGAUGAGACGUGUCUGUGGCAGCUCCGACAUGCAGUGCUGUGUGAGAGCAAGUCUGGGCCGAGCUGCCAGGCUGCUCAGGAUUGCUGCCAGCAGAACCCUGCCCGGCGCUCUGCGGUGCUGCUGCCGCACCGCCCCGCUCCACCACCGCCCGCCCGCCGCUGCUGUCCUGCAGAGCCGCUCCUGGCCGUACUGCGGGUCUUGGAGAUCAUCAACCUGCUGUUUAGGAGGCAGCAAAGUCCUGCUGCGUGACAUGCUGGAGACACCCGCUGCUGCUGCUUGGGCACCCGGAGCCGCUCUCCCAACAGGCGCGAGCGCCUGUGCGCGCUGGUAAUGUCUGAGCUGACAUUUUGCUGUCUUGAAAACAAAAGCUGUUCGUGGGCUAAUUAAAUAGAUCUGCACGCAGCAGAACAUGAGCCCCAAGGAGCGACAGAGUCCCAACAGGGUGUGAACUUUGGGAGACAGGAUGACACAGCAUUGUGCAUGCAAAAGAUUAUAAUUUUAGAAUCAAGAGUGGGUAAUGUGGUGAAUAGAUAGCACAAGAACUCAGAGCACUUGGUCCAUAAGGCCCUGGUAUAUGUCCGAUAUGACUCUCAUGUGCUCCCACAGAGAUGAAUACUGUCUUUCCUUCUCCUCCUUUGCCUUUAUUAAUAUUAUAAACCAACAAAAAUAACACAA